GGCCCCGUAGCUCAACUGGAUAGAGCGUCGGCCUCCGAAGCCGAAGGUUGCUGGUUCGAAUCCAGCCGGGGUCA
rnacentral:tRNA from 1 species